AACGAACGCUGGCGGCAGGCUUAACACAUGCAAGUCGAGCGCACUCUUUUAGAGUGAGCGGCAGACGGGUGAGUAACGCGUGGGAAUCUACCCAGAUCUACGGAAUAACACAGAGAAAUUUGUGCUAAUACCGUAUACGCCCUACGGGGGAAAGAUUUAUCGGAUUUGGAUGAGCCCGCGUUGGAUUAGCUAGUUGGUAGGGUAAAGGCCUACCAAGGCGACGAUCCAUAGCUGGUCUGAGAGGAUGAUCAGCCACACUGGGACUGAGACACGGCCCAGACUCCUACGGGAGGCAGCAGUAGGGAAUUUUCCACAAUGGACGGAAGUCUGAUGGAGCAACGCCGCGUGUGCGAAGAAGGUUUUCGGAUUGUAAAGCACUGUUGUAUAGGAAGAAUAAGGUAAACAGGGAAUGGUUUACUGAUGACGGUACUAUACGAGGAAGUCACGGCUAACUACGUGCCAGCAGCCGCAGUAACAC
rnacentral:rRNA from 1 species